AUGGAUAGCUGUGACAGUGGCCUCAGAACCACAGCAGAACGAGCCCCUCACUUCCUCCCUAGGAGAGCCGAACGCACCCUUUAUCUCCGCACUCUCUUUCUCCCACGGCUCCAGAGCCGAACCCUCCCUCCCCGCAGCCUUCCAGCCGCUGCCCACGGCUUUCUCGGGAACUUUAUCCCACAGGCGAGCUCUGCCCACGGCUGCUCGCACACCCCUUUGUUCGCCGCCCGCCCGCAGCAGGACGGGGCUGCUCCGGCUGCUGCUCCUGUCAGCCUCGGCUCCCAGCCCGCCUCAGCCCUCAGCCCGGGCUGCGCUGCCCCGCACGGCGCGGCUCCCCGGCCGGGCACGGCUCCCCGACUCACGCCGGCGAUCCCGAAGCCGAGCGAACAGCCAGGCGUCCCCCUGCUCCCCUCCCCCAGCACGGCUCCGCACAAAGCCCCCGGCCGCAGCCGCCCGCCCGUCGCUGUCACUCCGCUGCCCACCUCCACCAGGUACCGCCCCAACGGCCGCCAACCGCCCCAACGGCCCCAACGGCCGCCGAGCUGGGGGCCUCCCCUCCGCCGCUCGCUUACCUCCACCAGCGCCCCAGCGGCCGCUCCAGCCUCCCGGCGGCGCGGCACAACGCUGUACGGCGCGCCCCUCCUCUUCCUCCGAGCCGCUGGGCUCCCGCCCCCGGGCGCCGCCGUGCCAGGCCCGCGGCCAGCCCGCUCCACGAUGCCUCAGCCUGCCUGUGCUCUCCUGCCCGACUCCUUGACCCCUUCCGCCAGGCCCCGCCCCCUCGCCUUGUCCCGCCCCCGUCCGCCUCACGACCCGCCCCCUGCCCGCCUGCCAGCCCGACAUCUGGCGGCAAGUAGUCCUGGGCGGAGGGAGACGCCGUGCGGACUCUUCACCGCUCCUCCGCUUUGUCCCGCCGCCGUCGCCGCCGCUGGAGAGGGGCCGCCGACGGCCGGAGCCCCCGGCAGCGGAGCCCUGCAGGGGGCGGCAGCGCGGCUCUCGGCGGCGGGGCGCGGCCGCGGGGUUUGCCCGGGCGGGGCGGAGCGCCCUGAGGGGAAGUGGGGGGAGGCGGGAACAGCAAAACUUGAAAAAUAA
rnacentral:lncRNA from 1 species